rnacentral:rRNA from 1 species
AGGGUUUGAUCAUGGCUCAGGAUGAACGCUGGCGGCGUGCUUAACACAUGCAAGUCGAACGAACCUUCGGGUUAGUGGCGGACGGGUGAGUAACGCGUGAGAAUCUGCCCUCAGGAGGGGGAUAACGGUUGGAAACGGCCGCUAAUACCCCAUAUGCCGCGAGGUGAAAUGAAUUUCGCCUGAGGAUGAGCUCGCGUCUGAUUAGCUAGUUGGUGUAGGUAAUGGCUCACCAAGGCAUCGAUCAGUAGCUGGUCUGAGAGGAUGAUCAGCCACACUGGGACUGAGACACGGCCCAGACUCCUACGGGAGGCAGCAGUGGGGAAUUUUCCGCAAUGGGCGAAAGCCUGACGGAGCAACGCCGCGUGAGGGAUGAAGGCCUCUGGGCUGUAAACCUCUUUUCUCAAGGAAGAAGAUCUGACGGUACUUGAGGAAUAAGCCACGGCUAAUUCCGUGCCAGCAGCCGCGGUAAUACGGGAGUGGCAAGCGUUAUCCGGAAUUAUUGGGCGUAAAGCGUCCGCAGGCGGCCUUUCAAGUCUGCUGUUAAAGCGUGGAGCUUAACUCCAUCAUGGCAGUGGAAACUGUUGGGCUUGAGUGUGGUAGGGGCAGAGGGAAUUCCCGGUGUAGCGGUGAAAUGCGUAGAUAUCGGGAAGAACACCAGUGGCGAAGGCGCUCUGCUGGGCCAUCACUGACGCUCAUGGACGAAAGCCAGGGGAGCGAAAGGGAUUAGAUACCCCUGUAGUCCUGGCCGUAAACGAUGAACACUAGGUGUCGGGGGAAUCGACCCCCUCGGUGUCGUAGCCAACGCGUUAAGUGUUCCGCCUGGGGAGUACGCACGCAAGUGUGAAACUCAAAGGAAUUGACGGGGGCCCGCACAAGCGGUGGAGUAUGUGGUUUAAUUCGAUGCAACGCGAAGAACCUUACCAGGGUUUGACAUCCUGCGAAUCUCUUGGAAACGAGAGAGUGCCUUCGGGAGCGCAGAGACAGGUGGUGCAUGGCUGUCGUCAGCUCGUGUCGUGAGAUGUUGGGUUAAGUCCCGCAACGAGCGCAACCCACGUCUUUAGUUGCCAGCAUUUAGUUGGGCACUCUAGAGAGACCGCCGGUGAUAAACCGGAGGAAGGUGUGGAUGACGUCAAGUCAUCAUGCCCCUUACAUCCUGGGCUACACACGUACUACAAUGCUACGGACAAAGGGCAGCAAGUUCGCGAGGACAAGCAAAUCCCAUAAACCGUGGCUCAGUUCAGAUCGUAGGCUGCAACUCGCCUACGUGAAGGAGGAAUCGCUAGUAAUCGCAGGUCAGCAUACUGCGGUGAAUACGUUCCCGGGCCUUGUACACACCGCCCGUCACACCAUGGAAGUUGGCCACGCCCGAAGCCGUUACUCCAACCCUUGUGGAGGAGGACGUCGAAGGUGGGGCUGAUGACUGGGGUGAAGUCGUAACAAGGUAACC